AGGUGUACCGAAGGAUCUAGCGAUGAAGGUCAAGCGAAUCACGGACACUUUAAAAGUAAGUGAGCACAAGUUGUUAUCAUGGCGGAGCGAUAAUAACCCACGGAGGGAUAAAAUUGCAUUUAUGCAAUUGCAUAAAUGCAACAGGUAUUCCUUAUCCUCGAAAUGGCAUGAGAGGAGAUAGUCGUUUGGACGGCGUCGUGAACACGAAAGUGUCAAUGGAUGGCAAAAGUCAUCGCCAUGAAAUGUCGAACAUUUUGUGGUAGUGGGUCCCAUGUGUACGGGCGUAAGGGGGACUGGAGACAGUCAGAGGUGCACCUACA
rnacentral:sRNA from 12 species